ACGCUGGCGGCGUGCUUAAUACAUGCAAGUCAACUUGACUUUAGAUAGCAAUAUCGAAAGUAGGGUGGCGCACGGGUGCGUAACGCGUAGGUAAUCUGCCCUGAGGUCUGACAUAACCCGUCGAAAGGCGGGCUAACAUCAGAUGAUAUAUAAUCACGACAUCGUGGAAAUAUCAAAUCUUCGGAGCCUUGGGAUGAGCCUGCGUCUGAUUAGGCAGUUGGCGGAGUAAUAGCCCACCAAGCCUACGAUCAGUAGCUGGUCUGAGAGGAUGAUCAGCCACACUGGAACUGAGACACGGUCCAGACUCCUACGGGAGGCAGCAGUAAGGAAUAUUGCUCAAUGGGGGGAAACCCUGAAGCAGCAACGCCGCGUGAAGGAUGAAAUACUUUUGUAUGUAAACUUCUGUAAGAUGGGAAAAAUAUUCUCCUCGGGAGAAUUGAUUGUACCAUCAGAGUAAGCCCCGGCUAACUACGUG
rnacentral:rRNA from 1 species